GACGAACGCUGGCGGCGUGCUUAACACAUGCAAGUCGAACGGUGAAGCGAGUGCUUGCACUCGCGGAUCAGUGGCGAACGGGUGAGUAACACGUGAGUAACCUGCCCAUCACUCUGGGAUAAGCACUGGAAACGGUGUCUAAUACUGGAUACGACCAACCCUUGCAUGGGGUGUUGGUGGAAAGAUUUAUCGGUGAUGGAUGGACUCGCGGCCUAUCAGCUUGUUGGCGGGGUAAUGGCCCACCAAGGCGACGACGGGUAGCCGGCCUGAGAGGGUGACCGGCCACACUGGGACUGAGACACGGCCCAGACUCCUACGGGAGGCAGCAGUGGGGAAUAUUGCACAAUGGGCGAAAGCCUGAUGCAGCGACGCCGCGUGAGGGAUGACGGCCUUCGGGUUGUAAACCUCUUUCAGCAGGGAAGAAGCGAAAGUGACGGUACCUGCAGAAGAAGCACCGGCUAACUACGUG
rnacentral:rRNA from 1 species